CAGAUCAUAUAACAAGAAAGAAGCCAACGAAUAGACAACAAAAAAAGAUACAAAAUGUUUCUGCACUUCAGCUCAUAAUCAGUACCAUACACUGAUACACAUUGUACAAAAAGUUCCUGUGUUCCUACACUGAAUAUACACAAACAGCAUAGUGUUUCUUAUAUAUAGCAAAACACAAUUAUAACUUUCUCCAAGCUUCACACCACCAUAAUAUUGCUAUUCUUAAUUUCUUAUAUAUACCAAAACCCAGUUAAACUUCCUUCAGCUUCCAAGAAAUUCCAGCGUCAUCCACUUUGCUCUUAAAAAGGUAAAUAAAAUCUACCCAGAAACAGUUACAACCCGUGAUUCUGAAUUAACACAUCUUACAUUUCAGCUCCACCUAGUUGUCGGGAUUUGAACUGCCCCUGCCAUAACCCUCUGGUCUCCACCAGCGAGGUCUAGGGAAAGACCACCCAGCCUUUAUAGCUGCAACAAGAAUAUCAUCGUCGUCCGCAUCUACAAGAUCUGUUAGAGCAACAGUAUGUUGAGGAUCAUUUCCAGGGGAUCCAUCUUCAAUAACUUUCUCUCCAUCUAAACACGGAUUAUCUUCUUCUUGACCCCUUGUGCCACCUUGAGCUGAACUCUCAGCUUCUCCUGACCCAUCCUCUCUACCACAACUUGUACCUUGUCUUCCACCAUGACCCAAACCUUCCAUUUUCCGAAUGAUUUCUAGAAUUGAAUUGGGCAAUCUGCGUUGUUCUUGAGGGGCCUCUGAAAUCAGACCUAAACCGAGAUCAUUGAUGUUACUGGUUUCAAACAUUUCAACCUCCUCCAUAGCGUCAUUACACUUCGGCUUUUCAUUGCCCAUUCCAUUUCCCAAGUCUUUCUCAUUCCCUGGGUCCCCAUCAUUGUCCCCAAGUUCUGGUUCCAAGACUUCUGUACCAGUAAUACCACAAUGAGCUACCUGCAAACCUUCCAUGUCCACAUUAUUACCAUCAAGCUGAACAGAAACCUGAGCAUCUUCUUCCAUAAUCACAUUAAUACCAUCAAGCUCAACAGAGACCUUGUCACUCACAUUUCUCAGAUUAGCUGCCUCAACCACCACCUGAGCAUCUUCUCCCAUAGUCACAUUAAUACCAUCAAGCUUAACAGAGACUUUGUCACUCACAUUUCUCAGAUUGGCUACCUCAACCACCACCUUGGCAUCUUCUCCCAUAGCCACAUUAAUACCAUCAAGCUCAACAGAAACCUUGUCACUCCCAUUUUUCAGAUUAUCAGAGUCAUCCACCAUCUGAGCAUCUUCAAAUGCAUCUAUAGGUUCCUCCACAUCAGCUACAGUCUCAUCAUCAACAUUAGUAAACCCAAGUUCCAAUCUUUUAGUCUCAGUUAACCCUAUAUCAUCAUUCGGCAGUGAUUUCCUCUUCAAAGAAUCAUUUCCCCCCAAUUCUGACCUAGAAAUCUCACUGACCCUACCUUCCUUAUCUAAAUUUCCAGAAAAAUCAUCAUUUUUCCCCAAAUCAAACCUAGAAUUCUCAAUUUCACAAACUUCCUUACCCAAAUUUCCACAAACAUCAUCAUUAUUAACAAUCUCAGUCGAAAUACUCUCAUCUAUCAACGAUUUCUCUUCAGAAAACACCAAAUCAGUAUCUCUAUCUAAAUCAACAGAAGGUAAUGAAGAUUCUCUUACCCCAUCAGUGCAAUCACCAUCAUCAACAACUUUCUUCUUAGAUUCAACAACUACUUCAUCAUUUCUCUGUUCUUCUUGUGAAGGAAUUGAGAUAAGUUGUUCUUCAGGUGUUUGAUAAACAUCCUCUUCAUCUCCUUCCUUUGUUUGCACUGGAAAACUUUCUUCUUUAUCAUCAUCAACUGAACUCGGAAGAGAAAAGAUAGUAAUUCCGACCGCUUCUGCUGAAGAUUCGUCGGAAAGUGACGAACUUUUCUCUAUCUCUUUUCCGGCGUUGAUAUCGCCAUUACCGUUACGGUUGCCGUUGACGGGAUCACGUACUUCGUUAAUGAAAGGACAAGUUUCAAGAAUCUUUUGUUGAGCGGGUGAGAUAUAGGCGUCUUCGAUGAUGAAAGCAUAUGGAUCUGCCAUUUCUUCUUUCUAGGGUUAGGGUUUUGACUGAAAGACUGAGGAGGAAGGAUGGUUUCGGGCUUUUUAUAGUUUAUUCGGAAAGCGACCUGAAGGAGAGACAGGGGUGAUUAUGAAGAAGGGAAAUUGUUUGCAUGAUUGGUGUAAUUUUGGAUCAGUGGGCAGAGCGUCUCUGGUUUGACGAAUCUUGCAAAAGAAAAUGUGAAUCCAUCUGUUUUGAGAAAAUGAACUUCUUAAUUAGAAAAGAAGUUGGAAAACCUUCUUAAACAUUAAUAAUACAUACAAUUUGCUCAACAACAAAAAUCCAAUUUAACCCUUUUGUAUCUGCUUGUUGAGUUAAUUCAAUCGUUUUUUUCAUUUGCCUUUCGAAACUAUUGGGACGAAAGAAUAAGAAACCUCAAUAAACUCAAUAAAAACCACGUCUACAGUACAAUUACUUUGUGAGAUUGGCCCUCAUUAGGGGUGUUAUUCGAGCCGAGCGAGCCGAGCUUUGAAUGGUCAUACUCGGCUCGUUUUAAUACGAGUCGAGCCCGAGCCGAGCCCAAUUUCUGAAUCGAGCCUGGUUUUAUGUUCAAGCUCGGCUCGCGAGCUAUUUAUCGAGCUCGAGCUCGAGCUCGUUAGGCUCGUUUAGCUCGAGCCGAGCUCGAGCCCUCCAAGCUCGUUUAGCUCGAAUCAAGCUCGAACACUCAAAGCUCAUUUAGCUCGAGCCGAGCUCGAGCUCGAGCUCGUUUAGCUCGUUUGCAGCUUUUUCCUGGUAUAAAACAGACCUCUGUUGCAUUCUCUCUAUUAUACGUUCUUACCAAAGAUUUCCACUAAAAUCUCGAUAUCUAAAACAUACUACAAGAAGUUUCUUCUGUCAUAAAUCAAGCCACAGUUUAUUUGUAACUGCAGUUUCCAGUCCACCUUGUAACAUCAUCUUUUUCUUUAAUAUAAUCCAGGGACAAAAGAGAAGUCAUGAAAUACAGAAAUUAAUAGAAAACUAAUGAUACAACCUCCUUACCCAUAACUAAAUUAAUUAAUUACACUAAUCAGAUUAUCUUAAUUUAAUUCAUUACAAAAAUAGAUGAUUGUGAAGCAGCAGCAGCAUAGAAAGAAAGAUGUAACUCAUAUAAUUUGAGUAGAAAUUAAAAAAGUAAACUUGUUGUUUAUAAGUGUUGUUUAAUUAAUCAUAAAACUCAAAUUCAUGAAUCAAAACCUGUAAAUUGGAACGGAAAAAUUUCAAACAAAAAUUUAGUAAAUUACCAAUUGGAGAUGAAGUAUGAAACUACCAGCUUUCUUCAAUCCUUUUUUCUUAACAAUGAAGUACGAAGCUACCACCAAGGCACCAACUGGAGAUGAAGAUGGAUACUGGUUAGAUCGAGUUAGAGAAGAAGAAGGAGAAGGGAGACGGCAAGGUUUCACAUAUCGUUAUGUUGAUAUAUUCAUAUAUAGUGGGGGUAGGAUAGGAAUAACACAUAUUAAUGGGGGUAGGAUGGGUAACAUAACUUAACCAUAUCUAAAUUCGAGCUACUCGGCUCGGCUCGAUUAAAGCUCGGCUCGGGCUCGCUUAUCUUAUAAAAAACGAGUCGAGCUCGAGCUGCUCAACUCACAUAACACCCCUAGCCCUCAUAGAAUUGCAUAGACAAAACUUCUUAAGAGGCGUCUAAUAGCAUACAAUAGUCAUAAACAAUUACACAACACCGUCUAAACAGUCUCGCAAAUAUUAUAGUUCUUACAUCACAGUGUAGGUACAACAAACACUUUCCAUGCAACAGUAUGAGAGCUUUCAAUGGAAAUAAAUAGAAGGAUAUUUUAAGAGUCCAGUGCAACUCAAUUUAUCAUUGCCGUGAAUAAAACAACCUGGAACUGGUUUUUUUAUUAGUUUCUUAUGUGGAAUACCCAAUUUGAUUUGAUGAACUUAUCGUUGAUUGGGAAGAUAUAAUUGUAACACUACAUUAACUGUUGGAUGUGUAGCUAGAUUAUCUUAAUCACACUUCUUAUAAGAUUUUAUUUUACCGACCCAAGAAAAUAAAAUUAAUCUCUCAUUAUUAAAAAUCAUCAAAGAAGAAGAUAAUAUUUCUAAGUUGCGUCAAACAAUUCUACUAUAUAAAAUGAAAAAGUGGAAUCAAACCUACCAACAUACUAAAAUGAGACAUUGAUAUCAUAUCAAUUUCAUUACUGAUUGAAAUUUAUGUGAAACUAAAGACUGAAGAUGGCUUAUUCAAUCUUUUUCAACAAAAUUGAACAUCAAGUCAAACAUACUACACUAUUUUUUAAACAAAUUGUAAAAGGGGUUCUUAGUUCUUACCCACAAAUCAAAAUUAAUUUUUUUAAUUAUUCUAACAAGCAAUUAAAACAUACAUAUAUAUAUGACAAUAUAAACACAACCAAGAAAAUGAGUACCUUAGUCCACAGUAGCUAUAACAAGAGAUUCAAGAGAUAAGAUUCAUUACUAGUUAGUUCAAUUGAAGGAAGAAGAGAAUGAAAAAAAAAUCCCAAUUUUUUCUAUUUCUUCAACAAAUUCUCAAACUCCUCUUGCUUUAAUUUCACUACAACAACAAUGAAGAAGAAGAAGAAGAAGAAGAAAACGACUGAUCGUUCAUUGGUUCUUUCUUUCUAAGAUGUGGAUCAAGACCCAUAAAGUUUAUUUUUGGAUCUGAAGAAGGCCUUAGCCCGGCCCAUAUUAACCAAACAGCCCAUUUGAGUGAUAUUUAUAAAAUAGGCAUCUCCACUUAACCGAAAUAACCCCGUUACAAAUUUUGGCGGGAAGAAGACCUCAAGAAACAUUAACAUCACAUCUCCAAACAUUUUUAGUUUGAAUCAGAGAUUAUAUUAAACAUAGUUCUAUGAAACAAAUUGCAGGACAUAAGAGAACCGAAUCAGAUGAGAAUGCAGUCACAAUUCUAAAGCAAACCUACAUGACAGACUCCAUUAAUUACAAGCCCCUAGACAUUCAUAUUCGACCAUUUUAAUCUACAAAAUGAGUAAGCUUUAAAGCAGAUCAUAUAACAAGAAAGAAGCCAACGAAUAGACACAACAAAAGAUACAAAAUGUUUCUGCAUUUCAGUUCAUAAUCAGUACCAUACACUGAUACACAUUGUACAAAAAGUUCCUGUGUUCCUACACUGAAUAUACACAAACAGCAUAGUGUUUCUUAUAUAUAGCAAAACACAAUUAUAACUUUCUCCAAGCUUCACACCACCAUAAUAUUGCUAUUCUUAAUUUCUUAUAUAUACCAAAACCCAGUUAAACUUCCUUCAGCUUCCAAGAAAUUCCAACGUCAUCCACUUUGCUCUUAAAAAGAAAAAUAAAAUCUACCCAGAAACAGUUACAACCCGUGAUUCUGAAUUAACACAUCUUACAUUUCAGCUCCACCUAGUUGUCGGGAUUUGAACUGUCCCUGCCAUAACCCUCUGGUCUCCACCAGCGAGGUCUAGGGAAAGACCACCCAACCUUUAUAGCUGCAACAAGAAUAUCAUCGUCGUCCGCAUCUACAAGAUCUGUUAGAGCAACAAUAGGUUGAGGAUCAUUUCCAGGGGAUCCAUCUUCAAUAACUUUCUCUCCAUCUAAACACGGAUUAUCUUCUUCUUGACCCCUUGUGCCACCUUGAGCUGAAUUCUCAGCUUCUCCUGACCCAUCCUCUCUGCCACAACUUGUACCUUGUCUUCCACCAUGACCCAAACCUUCCAUUUUCCGAAUGAUUUCUAGAAUUGAAUUGGGCAAUCUGCGUUGUUCUUGAGGGGC
rnacentral:lncRNA from 1 species